AUUUCGUCGCUCACCGAUGUAUAUGCGGUGUGAGGAAAGUCCGGGCAACAUAGAGCACCAUAUUUCUUAACGGGAAGCUGUGGGUGACUGCAGAGUAGUGUGACAGAAAACAACCGCCUUUGGCAUCGCCGGAGGUAAGGGUGAAAAGGCGAGGUAAGAGCUCACCGGACGCGACAGUGAUAUCGCGUGCCGCACACCUUAUGGGUUGCAAGGCCAAAUAUACCGACAUUCAAGGGCUGCUCGUCCAUUGUCGGGGGGUAGGCUGCUAAAGCUUGCGGGCAACCGUAAGUUCAGAUAAAUGACGAAACGUCGUGAUGUCCCCGCAAGGGAAGUGUCACGACCGACAUAACCCGGCUUAUCGCCCGGCUGCU
rnacentral:RNase_P_RNA from 1 species